GUGCUCUGUUCAGCAGCACCUAUGCUAGGAGUUAAAAAGUACAGAGAUGACUAGCAAGGCCUCUGCUGAAAGAUGACUGUCAGAUUCAAGAAGGGGGUCUCUUCACU